UACAGAGGUCCCAAGCGUUGUUCGGAUUCACUGGGCGUAAAGGGCGCGUAGGUGGCGGCCCAAGUCUGUGGUGAAAGCUCGAUGCUUAACAUCGAGUCGGCCACGGAGACUGGGUGGCUCGAGCACUGUAGGGGCAGAUGGAAUUCCGGGUGUAGCGGUGGAAUGCGUAGAGAUCCGGAAGAACACCGGUGGCGAAGGCGGUCUGCUGGGCAGUUGCUGACACUGAUGCGCGACAGCGUGGGGAGCAAACAGG
rnacentral:rRNA from 1 species